rnacentral:lncRNA from 1 species
AUACUUCGUUGGUAGUCAUCAUUAGGCUCAAUGAUUAUAACAGUAAAUGACUAAAGCAGUUUUGAACUCACCAUCUGAUUCAGAUCCAUGAGUGGUAUGGGACCCCCCACUGGGGUGGAAUGUGUCUUGGUCUCCUGUAAUGAGCAAUCAGGAAGGAAGGGACUGCUUUUUAGUCAUCAGCACCAUGGAGGUCCAGAGGACAAAAGGCAAAACAAUAUUAUUGUGAGGAAUGUAAAGUGAUAUAAUCAGACAUUUACGCCAAUUAUAAAUCACACUGCAAAAGAACUGAAAUCAUAGCAAACAGUCUAUUGGACCACAGCGCAAUCAAAUUUGAAAUCAAGACUAAGAAACUCACUCAAAACCAUACAAUUACAUGGAAAUUAAAUAACCUGCUCCUGAAUGACUUCUGGGUAAAUAAUGAAAUUAAUGCAGAAAUCAAGAAGUUCUUUGAAACUAAUAAGAACAAAGAUACAACAUAUCAGAAUCUCUGGGACACAGCUAAGGCAGUAGUAAGAGGGAAAUUUAUAGCACUAAAUUUAAACGCCCACAUAAAAAAGUUAGAAAGAUCUCAAGUUAACAAAAAUAAAUA